rnacentral:rRNA from 1 species
UACAGAGGGUGCGAGCGUCAAUCGGAAUUACUGGGCGUAAAGGGUGCGUAGGUGGUGAUAUGAGUUAUAUGUGAAAUGCCUGGGCUUAACCUGGGACUGGCAUAUAAUACUGUAUGACUAGAGUUAGGUAGAGGGGAGUGGAAUUUCUGGUGUAGCGGUGAAAUGCGUAGAUAUCAGAAGGAACACCGGUGGCGAAGGCGGCUCCCUGGACUCAAACUGACACUGAGGCACGAAAGCGUGGGUAGCAAACAGG